GAUGAACGCUGGCGGCGUGCCUAAUACAUGCAAGUCGAGCGAACAGACGAGGAGCUUGCUCCUCUGACGUUAGCGGCGGACGGGUGAGUAACACGUGGAUAACCUACCUAUAAGACUGGGAUAACUUCGGGAAACCGGAGCUAAUACCGGAUAAUAUAUUGAACCGCAUGGUUCAAUAGUGAAAGACGGUUUUGCUGUCACUUAUAGAUGGAUCCGCGCCGCAUUAGCUAGUUGGUAAGGUAACGGCUUACCAAGGCGACGAUGCGUAGCCGACCUGAGAGGGUGAUCGGCCACACUGGAACUGAGACACGGUCCGGACUCCUACGGGAGGCAGCAGUAGGGAAUCUUCCGCAAUGGGCGAAAGCCUGACGGAGCAACGCCGCGUGGGUGAUGAAGGUCUUCGGAUCGUAAACCUCUGUUAUUAGGGAAGAACAAAUGUGUAAGUAACUAUGCACGUCUUGACGGUACCUAAUCAGAAAGCCACGGCUAACUACGUG
rnacentral:rRNA from 1 species